CAGCUAUCCAGUAGCCCAAACGUGGUGCAUCGUAUGUCCAGACGAAGUGAUUGUUAUGUUCCUUGACCAUUCCCUGGCCAUGAUUUACCCAAGCACCUAAAAAGACCACAAAGGCUGGUUCGGAGAUGGGCAUGAAAAUUCUAUAAUUGCAGUGAAUCCAAGAGCUUGUGCAAUUGCUACUGGGAAAAGAAUCUCUUUCCAUUGGACUUCAACCUGUGUGUCAAGUCAGAGCACCUACACUCUCUUCUUGCCACUCUGAAGAUAAACCUGAAUCUUUGAAUUAAAAGCUAGAGUUUUGUUCAUCAUUUAACAAAUAGUUAUAACAGAGCCCCUAUUGGCACCACCUACUCAUCUUGGUUCCAAAGCACAGUGAGUACAUGAUCUCUUGAGAUAUGUUUUUCACAAUCUGCAUUACCAUCAAGAAUGCUUUUUUCCAUUUCUUUGCUCAUU